rnacentral:rRNA from 1 species
GAUGAACGCUAGCGACAGGCCUAACACAUGCAAGUCGAGGGGCAUCGGGGCGUAGCAAUACGCUGCCGGCGACCGGCGGAUGGGUGAGUAACGCGUAUGCAACCUACCUUCAGCAGGGGGAUAGCCCGUUGAAAGACGGAUUAAUACCCCAUAACACAGGGGCUCCGCAUGGAGAUUAUUGUUAAAGGGAUGCUUCCUUCGGGGAGUAUCCGGCUGCAGAUGGGCAUGCGUUCCAUUAGGUAGUUGGUUGAGGUAACGGCUCACCAAGCCUACGAUGGAUAGGGGAACUGAGAGGUUGGUCCCCCACACUGGUACUGAGACACGGACCAGACUCCUACGGGAGGCAGCAGUGAGGAAUCUUGGUCAAUGGACGGAAGUCUGAACCAGCCAUGUCGCGUGAAGGAGGACGGCCCUAAGGGUUGUAAACUUCUUUUGCAGGGGAAUAAAGUAUUCUACGAGAUGGGAUAUUGCAAGUACGCUGCGAAUAAGGAUCGGCUAACUCCG